rnacentral:lncRNA from 1 species
ACAACAGGGAUAAGAUUAAUACCUGGUGAAGAGAAGACUUGGAAGCCAAAGGGCAUACUGGGCAGCUCCAAUCUUAAACAGAAAGAGAAGCCAAAGUUACUGCUAAAGAAGCAUGUAUUGUGGAAACAACUUUAUUGCAGAAAUCAAAUGAACGUUUUGGAAAGACCCUUCUUGUUAACAAGAAUAAUGUCAUCCAUGAGAUUACACCAAAUACGAUCAAUUGUAUGAUAUAAUCUUCCAUAUCUAUUUUCCUUUCUCCCUAAGUUGAAAGAAAAGCAUGAAUAGAUAAUGGAUCAAGUGUUUUAAACUUCUCAAAAUAGAGCUUCUUGUUGUGAAAACUGGAUCAGAUAUUCAAGCAUCCAGUUCACAGUAUUCAACAGUGCAAUGAAUAAAAGUUCAACUCGUGCCAUGUUAGAUGUAAUUAAAAGCAAAGAGGAAAUAUGGAAAGUGGAAAAGAGGAAAUAAAUUCAGGUAAAAUGAAGCAAAUUAUGGAAAGUGCAUAACCCUAACUCCUAUAACAACUCUGUCAAAUUAGGGCUUUAAACUUGCAUGUAUAUACCUUGC